UGAAUACGAGAUGCUACGGCGUCGAAGCAGUCUAUGUCAUACUUCCAAGAAAAGCUUGCACUGUCAUAAACAAAUAAUGCCUGUACCAUAACCGACACAGGUGGGUAGGUAGAGUAUACUAAGGGGCGCGAGAUAACUCUCUCUAAGGAACUCGGCAAAAUGACUCCGUAACUUCGGGAGAAGGAGUGCCUUAUUUAUAAGGUUGCAAUAACAAGAUCCAAGCAACUGUUUACCAAAAACACAGGUCUCCGCUAAGUCGUAAGACGAUGUAUGGGGGCUGACGCCUGCCCAGUGCCAGAAGGUUAAAGAAGUUGGUUAGCAUCCGCGAAGCUGAUAACUGGAGCCCUGGUGAACGGCGGCCGUAACUAUAACGGUCCUAAGGUAGCGAAAUUCCUUGUCGGGUAAGUUCCGACCCGCACGAAAGGCGUAAUGAUUUGGAUACUGUCUCGGAGAGGGGCUCGGUGAAAUAGACUUGUCUGUGAAGAUGCGGACUACCUGCACCAGGACAGAAAGACCCUAUGAAGCUUUACUGUAACCUGAAAUUGAAAUUGGACUUUACUUGCGCAGUAUAGGUGGGAGGCGUUGAGAAUAUUCUUGCGGGAUUAUUGGAGCCUUCAGUGAGAUACCACUCUUGUAAUGUUAGAUUUCUAACUUUGUAUCAUUAUCUGGUCAAAGAACAGUUUCAGGCGGGCAGUUUGACUGGGGCGGUCGCCUCCUAAACGGUAACGGAGGCGCACAAAGGUUUCCUCUGAACGGGUAGAAAUCGUAUCUAGAGUGUAAAGGCAUAAGGAAGCUUGACUGUGAGACCUACAAGUCGAGCAGGGACGAAAGUCGGUCUUAGUGAUCUGACGGUGCUGAGUGGAAAGGCCGUCACUCAACGGAUAAAAGUUACUCUAGGAUAACAGGCUGAUCUCCCCCAAGAGUUCACAUCGACGGGGAGGUUUGGCACCUCGAUGUCGGCUCAUCGCAUCCUGGGGCGGUAGUACGUCCCAAGGGUUGGGCUGUUCGCCCAUGAAAGCGGUACGCGAGCUGGGUUCAGAACGUCGUGAGACAGUUCGGUCCAUAUCCGGUGUAGGCGUUAGAAUAUUGAGAGGAGCCUUCUUUAGUACGAGAGGACCGAGAAGGACAUACCUCUGGUGUACCAGUUAUCGUGCCAACGGUAAACGCUGGGUAGCUAUGUGUGGAGUGGAUAACCGCUGAAAGCAUCUAAGUGGGAAGCCCACCUCAAGAUAAGAUCCCUGUGAUCCCGUAAGGGAGUAAGGCCGCAGGAAGACUACCUGCUUUAUAGG
rnacentral:rRNA from 1 species